rnacentral:lncRNA from 1 species
CACAUUAUCCUCCAUCGUGUUCCAUCACAAGUGACUGGAUAUAGUUCCCUGUACUGUACAGCAGGAUCUCAUUGCCCAUCCACUCUAAAUACCGUAUUUUGCAUCUGUUAACACCAGACUCCCAGUCUGUCCCACUCCUUCGCCCUCCACCUUGACAAUCACAAGGCUGUGCUUCAAGUCCAUGAGUUUCUUUUCUGCUGAAGGGUUCAUUUGUGCCAUGUAUUAGAUUCCAGAUAUAAGUGAUAUCAUAUGGUAUUUGGCUCUCUCUGAGUUUCUUCACUUAAUAUGAGUCUCUAGUUCCAUCCAUGUUGCUGCAAAUGGCAUUAUGUCAUUCUUUUUUCUGGCUGAGUAGUAUUCCAUUGUGUAUAUAUAUGUGUACCACAUCUUCUUCAUUCAUCUGUUGAUGGACAUUUAGGUUGAUUCCAUUUCUUGGCUAUUGUGAAUAGUGCUGCAAUGAAAUUACAGGUGCAUAUAUCAUUUUAAAGGAAAGUUUUGUCUGGAUAUAUGCCCAAGAGUUGGAUUGCUGGGUCAUAUGUGAGUUGUGUAUUUGCUUUUCUGAGGUACCUCCAUACUGUUUUCCAUAGUGGUAACAAUUUACAUUCCCACCAACAGUGUAGGAGGGCUCCCUUUUUUCCACACCCUCUCCAGUGUUUGUUAUUUGUUGAUUUGUUAAAGAUGGCCAUUCUGACUGGUUUGAGGUGGUACCUCAUAGAUGUUUUGAUUUACAUUAAUCAGUGAUGUUGAGCAUUUAUUCAUGUUCUUGUUGGCCAUCUGUAUAUCUUCUUUGGAGAAACCCAGAAAUAAAUCCAGGCACCAAUGUUCAAUUAAUUUUUGAAAUUAAGUUGUUUAUCCCAUUUUUCAAUUGCUUUGUUGGUUUUUUUUGCUGUUGAGUUGUAUAACUUGUUUGUGUAUUGCGGCUUUUAAGCCCUUGUUAGUUAUAUCCUUUGCAACUAUUUUCUCCCAUUCUGUAGGUUGCCUUUUUUUUUUUUUCUUCCCUUUGCUGUGCAAAAGCUUGUCAGUUCGAUUAGGUCACAUUGGUUUAUUUUUGCUUUCAUUUCUGCUCCCUUGGGAGACUGACCUAAGAAACAUUUGUAUGGUUGAUGUCAGAGAAUAUUUUGCCUGUGUUCUCUUCUAGGAGUUUGAUGGUGUCUUGUCUUAUGGUUAAGUCUUUAAGCCAUUUUCAGUUUAUUUUUGUGCAUGGUGUGAGGGUGUGUUCCAGGUUCACUGAUGCACAUGCAGCUGUCCAUCUUUCCUAGCACCACUUGCUGAAAAGACUCUCUUUUUGCCAUUUUAUAUUCUUUCCUCUUUUUUCAAAGAUUAAUUGACCUAGGUGGCUGGGUUUCUAUUCUGUUCCAUUUGUCUGUAUGUCCGUUUGGUACUACUACCAAACUGUCUUGAUUACUGUAGCUUUGUAAUACUGUCUGAAGUCUUGGGAGAGUUAUGCCUCUUACCUUUUUUUUUUUUUUCCUCAGGAUUGUUUGGCAAUUCUGGGUCUUUCACAGUUCCAUAUAAAUGUUUGGAUCAUUUGUUCCAGUUCUGUGAAAAAUAUCAUGGGUGGUUUGAUAGGGAUUGCACUGAAUCCAUAGAUUGCUUUAGGUAGUAUGGCCAUUGCUAUGAUAUUAAUUCUUCCAACCCAGGAGCAUGAAUAUCUUUCCAUUUCUUUGAAUCCUCUUUAAUUCCCUUGAUUAACGUUUUAUAGUUCUCAGUAUAUAAGUCAAGGAGUUUAAUUUUUUGGGUUCAAUUUUAAAAGGUAUUCUGUAAUAUUUAAUUGUCAGUAUACAGAAUUGCUGUCAGUUUAUGAAUGUUAAUCUUGUAUCUUGCUACUUUGCUGAAUUUGUUGAUAGUUUGAGUAGUUUUUGUGGAGUCCUUAGGGUUUUCUAUAUAUAGAUCAUGUAAUCAACAUAGAGUGACAAUUUUACCUCUUCUAAUUUGGAUACCUUUUAUUUCUUUUAUUUGAUGACUGUGACUAGAACUUCCAAUACUAUGUUGAAUAAAAGUGGUGAGAGUGGGCAUCCUUGUCUUGUUCCAGAUUUUACAGGGAAGGCUUCAGCUUUUCUCCAUUGAGUAUUAUGUUUGUUGUGGGUUUGCCAUCAAUGGCUUUUAUUAUGUUAAGAUGUGUUUUUUCUAUACCCACCUUGGUAAGAGUUUUUAUCAUGAAUGGAUGUUGGACUUUGUCAAAUGCUUCUUCUGCAUCUUUUGAGGUGAUCAUGAGGUUUUUGACUAAAUGUGAGUGUAUACAAACCCACAUACUCAGAGAAGCCAUGUAUAUGCAAGUGCAGUUUGACUGAACAGUUGAAAAUACAUAUAUAUAUCUUAUUAAAAUCAUUGUCAUUAACAUAAGUUGAAGCAACUUGUAUUUGCAUGCUCUCAUCAAGAGUAUUCAAUAAUUGUAAAAAAGUGAGGAAAUUGAAACCAUUUGAUUUACUUAUAAAGCCUUUAAGGUAGAAAGACUAAUAAAUGAAACCCCAGAAUCUUUAGGACAGCAUUCCUGGUAACUAAUAAUAGAUAGGGUCCUAUAGUCCUUUAUCAGGAAAAAAAAAAAUAGAUGUUCAUUUCUUAUCCAUUUAUUUAAAAAUAAUUUCAUCAUUGUCCUUAAUACCCUACAACAGUAACCAGUUAAAUUACUGAAAUUUGUAAAAUGUUUAAGGGUUUGAGGAUUUUCAAAAAAUGUAGUAGUAACAAGAUAAUUAACGUACCCAUUUAAAUCAUAAUGAAGUAGAAAGUGAAUAUUGCAGAGGGAGACAGUUAAGGAGCAGUUCUCACUAAAUAUCCAGACUUAACUUUUCAUUGUGCUUUAUUUGUUUUUUGUUUUUUGUUUUGCUUGUGUUUGUAUACACAUUACAUAAAAGAAACUGUGUUAUGCUGAUAUUUUAGAAUUUGCACCUCAAACAUCACCAGAUAAAUAGACUUCUGGUAUUCAUUAAAAAAAAAAAAAACUAUUUUAAUGGUUUUCCUUAUGAGAAUUCUGAAACACUUUGCUUGAGUCAUUUCCCCAAGGAUUGCUAAUGGAUGUAGAGAUUGGUAGUAAACUACUUUGACUUUCUUCGGAAACUUGAUAUACUCUUCCUAGUAUUAGAUGCUGAUCUUUGGGCUCACGUUAGGCAGGUAAUCAUAAUAUACCAUACUCCUGCAACAGUGCUUGAUGCAAGAGCUAGGUACAUCCCUUAAGCAUGAUUGAUGAGUGUUGUUCCUUCAGGUCAAAAUGUGGAUACCAGGAGAGAAUUUUCGCGAUUGCAGGAAUUUCUAAAUUAUAGCUACUGUGUCCUAUUCAUCAUCUGGAGAGAAUUUAUUGAAGUGCAGAGGAUUAGACCAUCACUCAGAGAAACGGAGAGAAUUAUAGAGAAGAAACAUAGGCUGAAGGAGAUGUAUUUUUUACCUGGAUGUUUUGAGUCUUCAGAUUGCUGUCUCUAUGACUUUGAUUCCCAUCUGUUUUCCUUUGAUUUGUGAAAGCUAUUACUAUGAUAAUUGAGCCAGAGAAAACAAUGAAGUAUGAAAUGCACAUUGUCCUCAUCCUUAAGACCAUGUUUAAAAGAAUUACAUUCAUUUUAAUUAUUUUAAAGACUGUAUUUUUUAGAGUAUGGAGACUUUAUUUUAUAUGGGCAGCGAAGUUGAGAAGAAUAUAGAGUUUUCCCAUAUGUCUUCUCCCCCUGCAUAUGCAUAGCCUCCUCUCCUGUCAACACCUUUGAUCUUUUUAUAUGUUAUAAUGAGGCUAAGGUUGUUUUUUUUUUUUUUUUUCUUUUUAGGGCCACAACUGUGGCAUAUGGAAGUUACCAGGCUAGGGGUUGAAUUGGAGUUUCAGCUGCUUGCCUACACCACAGCCAUAGCAACGCCAAAUCCGAGCCACAUCUGCAACCUAACCACAGCUCACAGCCAGCUCACACCCAUUGAGUGAGGCCAGGUAUCAAACCUGCAUCCUCAUGGAAACUAGUUGGGUUCAUUACUGCUGAGCCAUGAUGGGAACUCCAAGGCUAAGCUUUUUUUUUUUUUUGGCAUUGCUACAGCAUGUGGAAAUUUCUUGGCCAGGGAACAAACCUGUGCCACAGCAGUGAUGCAAGCUGCUGCAGUGACAUUGCCAGAUCCUUAACCUAUUGUGUCACAGGAGAACUCCCUAAAGGUUUAAUUUUAAAAAAUUUUUAGUAAGUUUUUUCAACAUAAUCACAAAGCAGUUUAAUUCAGAUUGGUCUUGUUCCUUUUCAGAUAUUGAUUUCUAGGUGAUAACUGCCUUUCAACUUUAGAAAACAGAAAUUUGGAUUCAUCACAUGUUGUUUUAAAGCUUUCUGGUGAUACUAGAGCAGUGUAGUUGUCUAAUAUUGAAAAAUAAGAAGCAUAAAACUGAAGACAUUCUUGAGAUUCCUUUGUAGCCAAGGAGUGGAUGAAUAAAUUAUAAAGGAGAUGUAAAAGAAAGGCUUGAAAAAUUAAUGGAGGUGUAAGUGAUCAAACUAGCUGUGAUCUGAUGUGGGAUCAUUUAAUUCUGAUCAUAUCAGAGGAAUAGCACCCAUUUGUAUUACCGAAAGGUGCCAGGCAACACCAUCUUAAAACACCCAUAUUUAUAGCAUGUUUUACAACUAUAUAAAUUCAUAAACAGAAAAAUGAUACAUCUUAAAAAAUCAAAGUUACAAGCUCAUUGGUUUGAUUAAUUAAAAAUUGCUUUAUCCCCAUAAAUUUAUAAACUGAUUGUCUUAGUACAGAAAACAUCAGUGGGAAAUUCCCAGUAAAAAUAAAUGAAAAUUUGUAGAUCUUCACUGUUUCGUGAUUUAAACAAAGGUCCAUAUUAAUCUUGAUUUUUUCAUGGAGAACUCACAUGGAUUAGAUGGUGCCUUGGCAGUGGAGUUCCCUCUAGUUCUGCAUCCUCCAACAAAUAUGUCAGUGUGGGAGUUCCUGUUGUGGCGCAGUGGAAAAGAAUCUGACUAGUAUCCAUGAAGAUGUGGAUUCGAUUCCAGGCCUCCCUCAGUGGGUUGGGGGUCCAGCAUUGCUGUGAGCUGUGGUGGAGGUCCCAGAUGCGACUUGGAUCCCUCAUUACUGUGACUGUGGCGUAGGCUGCCAGCUGUAGCUCUGAUUCGGCCCCUAGCCUGGGAACUUACAUAUGCCA